rnacentral:rRNA from 1 species
UACGUAGGGGUGCGAGCGUUGUCCGGAAUUACUGGGCGUAAAGAGCUCGUAGGUGGUUUGUCGCGUUGUUCGUGAAAACCGGGGGCUUAACCCUCGGCGUGCGGGCGAUACGGGGCAGACUUGAGUACUGCAGGGGAGACUGGAAUUCCUGGUGUAGCGGUGGAAUGCGCAGAUAUCAGGAGGAACACCAGUGGCGAAGGCAGGCUC